rnacentral:misc_RNA from 1 species
GAUGAAGAACGUAGCGAAAUGCGAUAAGUAAUGUGAAUUGCAGAAUUCAGUGAAUCAUCGAAUCUUUGAACGCACAUUGCGCCCGCCAGUAUUCUGGCGGGCAUGCCUGUCUGAGCGUCAUUUCAACCCUCAUGCCCCUAGGGCGUGGUGUUGGGGAUCGGCUAAAGCCCGCGAGGGACGGCCGGCCCCUAAAUCUAGUGGCGGACCCGUCGUGGCCUCCUCUGCGAAGUAGUGAUAUUCCGCAUCGGAGAGCGACGAGCCCCUGCCGUUAAACCCCCAACUUUCCAAGGUUGACCUCAGAUCAGGUAGGAAUACCCGCUGAACUUAAGCAUAUCAAUAAGCGGAGGA